AGCUUCGUGCAGUGGCAGUAUCGUAGCCAAUGAGGUUUAUCCCAGGAGCGAUUAUUGCCAAUUGAAAACUUUUCCCAAUACCCCGCCAUGACGACUGGAAAUAUAGUUGGCACCGGCAGUUUUUGACAGUCUCUACAGAGA
ensembl:snRNA U4 U4 spliceosomal RNA